GACUUCCUGCCCGGCUCGAUUUGUUGCGGUUUGUAUGAUCCUACUAAUCAUUCAACGGGAGCCCGGAGUUCUCCGGUGGAUUGCAGACCUCCCCGCCAUGGGUCGACCAUGGAGGCUCGAUGAGGAAGCGUGAUUCCGGAGACAGGGCACCCACCUGUCCGUAAGGGUAGGUUUGAUUGACCGCAGACGACCGGGCGGGAUCUUU
rfam:Faecalibacterium prausnitzii SL3/3 draft genome.